CAGGAUACCCGCUACCCACCGCUACUACCGGCUAAAGAUCCUCGCUGAUACUUUGCAAUGUCUAUGUCCGGAGAUACACACGAUGCACUAAGAGAUAUCACCAACAUCGCAGAUGACGCCUCACGGAGAAGGGGAGAAAGAAGAGAGCAGCAGCGGAUUCGUUGAGCUGAGAUGUCCAGCGACACCGCUACUGCCGGCUAAAGAUCCUCGCUAAUACUUUGCAAUGUCUGUGCGUGGAGAUACACACGAUGCGCUAAGAGAUAUUACCAACAUCGCAGAUGACGCCUCGCGGAGAAGGGAAGAAAGAAGAGAGCAGCAGCGGAUUCGUCGAGCUGAGAUGUCCAGCGAUCAAAGAGAAGAGAUCAAUACAAAAAAGCGUGAAUACAUACGAGACUACCGAGCACGGAAAAGAGCUACGUCCCAAAAUAAUAGCAAUUCCUAUGCUUUGACCACAACAUCUCAACCAAAGUUAUUUAAUCGUUUCAACACUUCUUUUUAUUUCUAUCUCUAUGUAUAAUGAAACCAAAAUCACAAAAAUAUAUGCAGGUAUUAGUUACCCUAAGAUUGACCAAAACACAUCAAUUAUAUUGGACAAAGAAAAUAUCCCAUCAGAUGCACAUGGAGAUCAAAGCCAUGUUGGCAUUAGCACCGCGACCACAACAGGCGGUGCACUAUCUGCGUCCAGCGGUAAACAUUCUGUUAUUGUAUUGUGUACACGUAAUAUGGUAAGUUUGACCACAAGAUCUGAUAUAUGAUA